rnacentral:lncRNA from 1 species
CAGAGACAGGGGGCUGGGGGAACAGGACGCACGGGAGAGGGAGAGCCAGGCACUGGCGAGACGAUGUCGGGGUUGGCAUGCACAGCUCCAUGUAUCACAGACACGCAGGAGGAAAGGCCAGAUGACAGACGGAUGCACCAUGCACAGACACACAUACAGCUCCAGAGAGAACACACAAACCCGCAGACACAUCACACAGCUCCACAGACGUCGGGCCGACCCAGGGACACACACGCGCGCACACACAGGUGCCGGGCUCAGCGAGACGCCGGCGAGAAGGAAGAGGAGGCGAGAGGUGAACUGAGUUUGAUCCUGCGGC